CCUACGGGUGGCAGCAGUGAGGAAUAUUGGUCAAUGGACGUAAGGCUGAACCAGCAAAGUAGCGUGAGGGAAGACUGCCCUAUGGGUGGUAAACCUCUUUUAUGCGGGGAUAAAGGUGUCCACGUGUGGAUUUUUACAGGUCCCGCAUGAAUGAGGACCGACAAGUUCCGUGCCAGCAGCCGCGGUAGUACGGAGGGUCCGGGCGUUAUCCGGGUUUAUUGGGUGUAAAGGGAGCGUAGGCGGGUCUUUAAGCGUGCCGUGAAAUUGUGUGGCUCAACCUGUUUCCGCCGUUGAUACUGUCGGUCUGGAGUGGGCGAGAAGUAUGCGGAAUGCGUGGUGUAGCGGUGAAAUGCAUAGAUAUUACGCAGAACUCCGAUUGCGAAGGCAGCAUACCGGAGUCUGACUGACGCUGAGGCACGAAAGCGUGGGUAUCGAACAGGAUUAGAUACCCGGGUAGUC
rnacentral:rRNA from 1 species